GNNNNUCGAGCGGGGNNNNNNAGCUUGCUACNUNACCUAGCGGCGGACGGGUGAGUAAUGCUUAGGAAUCUGCCUAUUAGUGGGGGACAACAUUCCGAAAGGAAUGCUAAUACCGCAUACGCCCUACGGGGGAAAGCAGGGGAUCUUCGGACCUUGCGCUAAUAGAUGAGCCUAAGUCAGAUUAGCUAGUUGGUGGGGUAAAGGCCUACCAAGGCGACGAUCUGUAGCGGGUCUGAGAGGAUGAUCCGCCACACUGGGACUGAGACACGGCCCAGACUCCUACGGGAGGCAGCAGUGGGGAAUAUUGGACAAUGGGCGAAAGCCUGAUCCAGCCAUGCCGCGUGUGUGAAGAAGGCCUUUUGGUUGUAAAGCACUUUAAGCGAGGAGGAGGCUACUNANAUUAAUACUCUNGGAUAGUGGACGUUACUCGCANAAUAANCNCCGGCUAACUCUGUGCCANCANCCGCNGUAA
rnacentral:rRNA from 1 species